rnacentral:rRNA from 1 species
UACGGGGGGUGCGAGCGUUGUCCGGAAUCACUGGGCGUAAAGGGUGCGUAGGCGGACUUUUAAGUCAGUGGUGAAAUCCCCGAGCUUAACUCGGAAACUGCCAUUGAUACUAUUAGUCUUGAAUUCGGUCGAGGUUGGCGGAAUGUGUCGUGUAGCGGUGAAAUGCUUAGAUAUGACACAGAACACCGAUUGCGAAGGCAGCUAGCUAGACCGACAUUGACGCUGAGGCACGAAAGCGUGGGGAUCAAACAGG